UACGUAGGGUGCGAGCGUUGUCCGGAAUUAUUGGGCGUAAAGAGCUCGUAGGCGGUCUGUCACGUCGGCUGUGAAAUCCCGUGGAGCUCAACCUCGGGUCUGCAGUCGAUACGGGCAAACUAGAGUAUUGCAGGGGAGACUGGAAUUCCUGGUGUAGCGGUGAAAUGCGCAGAUAUCAGGAGGAACACCGGUGGCGAAGGCGGGUCUCUGGGCAAUAACUGACGCUGAGGAGCGAAAGCGUGGGAGCGAACAGG
rnacentral:rRNA from 1 species